UACGAAGGGGGCUAGCGUUGCUCGGAAUCACUGGGCGUAAAGGGUGCGUAGGCGGGUCUUUAAGUCAGGGGUGAAAUCCUGGAGCUCAACUCCAGAACUGCCUUUGAUACUGAAGAUCUUGAGUUCGGGAGGGGUGAGUGGAACUGCGAGUGUAGAGGUGAAAUUCGUAGAUAUUCGCAGGAACACCAGUGGCGAAGGCGACUCGCUGGACUUGUGGUGACGCUGAGACGCGAAAGCGUGGGUAGCAAACAGG
rnacentral:rRNA from 1 species